GACGAACGCUGGCGGCGUGCGUAAUACAUGCAAGUAGAACGCUGAAGGAGGAGCUUGCUUCUCUGGAUGAGUUGCGAACGGGUGAGUAACGCGUAGGUAACCUGCCUGGUAGCGGGGGAUAACUAUUGGAAACGAUAGCUAAUACCGCAUAACAGUAGAUGUUGCAUGACAUUUGCUUAAAAGGUGCAAUUGCAUCACUACCAGAUGGACCUGCGUUGUAUUAGCUAGUUGGUGGGGUAACGGCUCACCAAGGCAACGAUACAUAGCCGACCUGAGAGGGUGAUCGGCCACACUGGGACUGAGACACGGCCCAGACUCCUACGGGAGGCAGCAGUAGGGAAUCUUCGGCAAUGGACGGAAGUCUGACCGAGCAACGCCGCGUGAGUGAAGAAGGUUUUCGGAUCGUAAAGCUCUGUUGUAAGAGAAGAACGAGUGUGAGAGUGGAAAGUUCACACUGUGACGGUAUCUUACCAGAAAGGGACGGCUAACUACGUGCCAGCAGCCGCGGUAAUACGUAGGUCCCGAGCGUUGUCCGGAUUUAUUGGGCGUAAAGCGAGCGCAGGCGGUUAGAUAAGUCUGAAGUUAAAGGCUGUGGCUUAACCAUAGUACGCUUUGGAAACUGUUUAACUUGAGUGCAAGAGGGGAGAGUGGAAUUCCAUGUGUAGCGGUGAAAUGCGUAGAUAUAUGGAGGAACACCGGUGGCGAAAGCGGCUCUCUGGCUUGUAACUGACGCUGAGGCUCGAAAGCGUGGGGAGCAAACAGG
rnacentral:rRNA from 1 species